GUAGCGCAAACUUCAUCCAAAUUCCCCCUUUGCGGUUAAUUAUGACGUUAAGGAAAUUUCAAAUAAGUUAAUAUAUAGUAUAAUUAUUCCGAUGGCGUGUCAUUGUGUAACAUUGCAGUGGUGUGGACAGGACAACAAUAGAACAAAAUGGCUAAACUCUGUAUCUUUUUGGCAGUAGCCGUGUCUGCUAUCGUAAUAGUCCACGGGGAGAAUGUGGUCGCAAAAAAUACCCCAGUGGGAGAUCAACAUCCGCUAUCUCCGACUAAAUCAAAUUGCACUGCUGCUCAAAAGCAACACAUUAUC